rnacentral:lncRNA from 1 species
GGAUCAGGGAGAGGUGAGGGUUGUGGUAAACCAGAGGACACCUGCCCUAUCUAAAGGAAGCAAGAACUACUCAGCUCUUGUUGAGGUGAACAUAGCAACUCAGAGAUUCUGGAUCUUCGAAUUUUUCCCAACAUGCUAGAAAUCUGGAUUUAUUUUAAAAGUAAGUUUUUCUCCAUUUGAAAACACAGUGCUGGCCAGACAACAUAUCUCUGGGUUGCCGGGACCAACCUUGGGACGUGGCUGGGGACUGAAAUGGACUCUAGAGGUUGGAAGCUGAGAUCUCUGGAACAAGAAUUGGGAACAACGACAACAUUCUGAGCUUCCCAGAAGGUAACAACUAUGGGGAUUUUUG